UUCCGUGCCAGCAGCCGCGGUAAUACGGGGGGGGCAAGCGUUGUUCGGAAUUACUGGGGCGUAAAGGGCUCGUAGGCGGCCAACUAAGUCAGACGUGAAAUCCCUCGGCUUAACCGGGGAACUGCGUCUGAUACUGGAUGGCUGGAGGUUGGGAGAGGGAUGCGGAAUUCCAGGUGUAGCGGUGAAAUGCGUAGAUAUCUGGAGGAACACCGGUGGCGAAGGCGGCAUCCUGGACCAAUUCUGACACUGAGGCACGAAAGCUAGGGGAGCAAACAGGAUUAGAUACCCUGGUAGUCCUAGCCGUAAACGGUGCGUAUUUGCUGUAAAAGGAAUCGACCCCUUUUGUGGCGUAGCCAACGCGUUAAAUACGCCGCCUGGGAAGUACGGUCGCAAGAUUAAAACUCAAAGAAAUUGACGGGGGCCUGCACAAGCGGUGGAGUAUGUGGCUUAAUUCGAUGCAACGCGAAGAACCUUACCUGGCCUUGACAUGCAAGUAGUAGAAGGAUGAAAGUCUGACGAGCCCGCAAGGGCAGCUUGCACAGGUGCUGCAUGGCUUCUCAGCUCGGUCG
rnacentral:rRNA from 1 species